UCGAAACAUAAUAUUUUAAAGAUUAUUUUGUGAUAAACCUCACGACAAUAGUGAUAAGUUGCCCUUUUUAUCUAACACACGUUUUUGUCACUUGCCAUGCAUAUUGGGUUUUAAUGUAACUAAAACAUGGAAAUAUUCUUUUUGUUUUUUUUUUUGUUUUUUUGUUUUUGUUUUUUUUAUCGAUUCAAUAGAAAUGAAAAGUCUUCAACCAAAAGUUAUCUUGGGCUUAAGUGCGUAAGAGAGUUCACGAGGGAGGCAGUAGAGGAGGGCUCUUAGAACUAUAUAUCGAAAUAAGAAGCCGGAGGUUGAAAUUCAACGGAUUGACUGUGUGACAGGGAAUCGAAAUUAGCAGGUUCUGAUUUGAAGAAGAAGAAGAUGGAUAACAUGUCGGCUGUUUGGUAGGGAUGUGCGAUCAAUCCACCUCACUUAUAAUUUUGAUAUGAACCAGUUCUCGCAUUGAGACGCUUUAUUUGGUCUCGAUCAGGUUAUUUCGAUUUUGGAGCUAGCGACAUGUAGACAGGUGGGGUGGUACAUCAAUUUUGAUAUAUAUAGCAUAAUGAGACGUGUACUAGUUUGGAUCAAGAAGGACUGAAAGGUGACUGAUUAGAGUCGUGACCAUACUAAAAGUCUAAAACGUAUCAUAGGUUUUCAAUUAAUGAAUCAUUUAAUUUAGUUUACUUUUUUGAAAGGCUGAUGCUAACCAAGCAACAAUACAAUUAUAUGAUGUGAACUGAGAUAAUGGUGGUUGAACAAUAAAGGAGGCCAACCAUUGAAAAACAGAAACUCCUAAAAUGUUGCUGUGUUUUAGUCUCUGUGAUAGACUUUGGGAUGGAUUUAGACUUUAGAGGAAGUGGUUAUUUCCGGUUCUCUUUUUCUAGCAUACAUGCAUUCAAACCCUCAUACGUUUAAGAUAUUACCAGUUUUUUGCGAUUUAUCCUCGCAUGAUGAUGUAUGUUGGAACAUGUUUGAAAUGAGUCAUUCAGAUCGUUUGAUUUA